rnacentral:rRNA from 1 species
AUGCUCAGCUUCAAGGUGUCUCUGGUUCUCGAAGGAAUCCCUCCUCAUGCUUGGGAAAGGGAGGUUGCAGAAGAUCUGCUAGGUUCGUCUUGCCUGGUGGAUAUGGUGGAGCCGGAGACCAGCGCUCGCCAUGACUUGUCUGCGUUCAAGUUGUCGGCUUGGACGGCGGACCCGGACGCCAUCCCCUCCCUCCGUUGGCUUGCUGUCCCGGAGCCUGGCCUGUCCUCGCCAUUGUUGGAGCCUACCUUGCUCCAGUGCAAGAUCCUGAUUCAUUUGGACUCGGUCUCCGAUCUCUCUGGCAGGGACAAGCCGUUCUUCUUGGGGGUCUCUUCGGGCAAUGGUCAGAGCGGGGCUCCCGUCGAACGGAAGGAUCAGUGGGAACAAUGGUAG